rnacentral:lncRNA from 1 species
CAACUGAGGGCCUUCAGCAGCCAACACCUCCAGCAGCUGGAGGAGGUCUGCGUCUGGGGAAGGGAGUCUGGGUGGAGAACCAACAGCAUCCACUUUAUGCAUUUUGUCUCUCUCCUUUCCUAUUCCUGCUUUACUCUGCAUUCACCUUGCUAGCAUGCUGUUCAGAAACCACCCCUCAAUGCCCACAGACGACACUCCCACUUUUCCACUGUUUCCAUCCUUAUUUCCAAUCUUUGUCUCACUCCUCACCCUAGGAAAACAAUCUAUCUUUCAGGAAGCCCUUCCCUUCUUCUCUACCUGACACACUUCCUUGCCAUUCCUUCAUCUCCCGUGCUUUCUUAUUUAUACCUAGAACUUAAGAGUCAGCAGAACUAUAAUUGAGCUCCCAUUCGAAUGUGUUUUUUGGUCACCUCUUUGAUUCUCACGUCCUUCACCCCUACAAGGGGCUGUUUAGCUCUUAAAUUCAAAUGCCAUGUUGCAUUUUAAAGCUUUUUAUAAUUCUCCCCAUAAUAUCCACUUACAAAGGGAUCUACCCACAAAGACACUGUGUUCCCUCUAUUUUAUGAACCUUCUCAUAUUUAUUGCAUCAACUGUUUAGCAUAACUACACUUGAAUUAUGAUACAGCAUUACCUUUGGCACACCAUCUUCUUAACUAGAAGCUAAGCUUCCAAAAGGUAGGACCAUUGCUUUACCAGCCUCCAUAAUAGCUAAUAUAGGAGGUCUUCUCUGGGGGUUAGAAAUUAAGAUGCUUGUUAAUGGCAACUUGUAUCUGAACCAUUAAAGUAUGGGUCAAACAGAAACUUAGAAACUAAUGAUAAAAUAUAAUGAACAAUGAUCAAAAGCGCACUAGAAAAGGGAAUGUUUUAUGGACGCAAGGGACCUCUAAUCCAAAUACGUGUAAAAAAUGAACGGUUCUUGUAACCAGUAUAUUAGGCAGCAGGUUCCAAAGAGUCAUUUCCCAAUUAUUUGCUUUAUUCACAUUUGUCAAAUUAUAGCCAAGUAAAAUACGCUUUUAAAAACAUUUUCAAUUUCCUUAGAAACUUUGAGUUUGUAUUGUAUACCCUUCUUUCAAAACCGAAAUAUUUAUUUAAGAUAUCUGAUUGGAACUAUACGUCAGAAUGAUUAGAAUCAAUAGGUUAAUUAUAAAAGGCAGUGUUAUUAGGAGUCAUUAUUUAUUCUGUUCUUGGUGGCUAGAGUGUAUUUUUUUAAGUGUAUUCCAUCAUGCCUCAUGGGUAUUUAUAGAUAAAACUUCUCAGCGAGUCUGACUUUCAUGAUUUCACUCCAUGCACUGGGCUUGUACAAGUGGCUAUUGAAUACCAGCCAAGAUGACUCACUUUUUAUCACAAGAUGGAAAACUUCUUUCAGUAUGGCUCUAUCCUGAAAUAUCUGUUUUCUGCUACUGGUAAAAUACCAGUGACAUAUGAGGUAGUAAGCAUUCAUUGAACACUUUAAGAUAAGUAGUUGAAGACUUUAAAAAUCUGAAACUUGGGUUGGUGCUGAAAAAAUACAAGUGGGCCAUACAUAUUAUGAUAAACUAAACUUAACUCAUUUCUCUUUUUUACCUCCAACCAUGACUCUCAAUACAGAGAUUGGGGAGAAAAAGAACUGGUAGAAGCCCUAGAGGAAUGCCUAAUUAGCCUGACUGUUUCUACUAUGGUUGGCAUUUAUCUCCUUUUAAAACAAUCCAUGGUUUAUGUGUGUUUCUCAGAUGAAACUUAGGAGAUGAGAAAAGACAGAAUAUUUGGAAUGUCAUACACAGGGAAAAAUUUCUGUCAAACACAUUAUUGAAGCUGAAAAAAAAUGAAAUUGAAACAAAGAACACCUGCUACUUUAACUCAUUUAAAAAAACAUAAUGUUCUUUACUUGCUGACUGGAAAUAUUAUAUUUUCAGAGAAGAGAAAGUGAUAAUCUAAAUGGGAGAAAAUGCAAUGAUUCACUAUGCAGUGAAAUGAAAUCGGAAAUAUUUUAAAUUGUGUAUUUCAGUUUGUGGAGGGGUAGGUAGUUUGUAUAAAAACGGUUUUACUCAUCAGGUGGUGAAUAUUUCUCACAAAUUGCAGUAUAGAGAAUAAAAUCAGCUUGUCACUAAAGAUUUUUUUUUAUUGACAUCUUUAGCUUGUCUUCAUGCCAGUAAUUAAAUUGCUAAUUAUGUGUUUCUGUUACUGUGGUCAUGCUUUUAUUACAUAAUUGCUUCAAGUUUUGUUCAAAUCACUAACAAUAUUUAUUUAACCUUUUUGUGCAUUAGAUAAAUUUUAAUAUAUAAAAGCUUUGGAAUGAGUUCAUUGACUCUGUUUUGAUUAGCAAAAUCAAAGGGAUUCUAACCUUUCUUAUAGUUACAUGGGUUGGGUCACAUUUUCAAUGAGAUUGCUGAUAAUUAUUAAUUCAGGCAGUAGCAAUCAUUGAAAGACCAGUUGAAAUAGAACUGAGAAAGAAUACAAAGAAAACUUUUCAAAAACCUAGUGUCCAUUCCAGAAAAAUAAAAUGUUCUUUCUUGAGGUAAUCGGAAAUAUAAAAUUAAUAAUUUGAUCUUUGAUAUGUCCAGAGUUUUCAAAAAAACAUUUGAAUAAAUUGUGGCUAAUUCAGUUAUCAGGCUUUCCCUCCCCUUUUGAAUGUAGGCAUAAUUUUUGUCAGUGUUUCAAUGUAUUCAUGAUUUUUUCUCAUUUGUUUAUUUUAUGCAAACCAUAAGAGACAUUUUUCUCAGUGAAGAUUGCCUCUUUAUUUUAUUUUGAAAUAUUUGUAUAUUUAUUUCAUUAAAUGAGAUAAUGCUUUUUCUUAUUAACAUAAUUUCCAGUACAUUAAACAUAUUUCUCCACAGACAGAAGAGAGGAAUCAAAUUAAAUGACAGCUAAAUCACUUGCAGCAAUUUCAACUGUUAAAAGAAAUAAGUGUCUCUGUUUUCUUUGUGAUCACAAGAUGUGCUGUAAAGGGAAAUGAAAUACUAAAGAAAGAAGGGAAAACAUAAAGAAAUAAUGACUGACUUAUUGCAGUAAUACCAUUGAGAGAAGAAAAAUUCACUGCAAAUAAAAGGAAAAAUAAUAUAGUGGAUUUGAAAGUUACCAAAAUUCAUUUCUUAUUGAUGAGUUCAGUGGAAGCCUAAUACUAAGUAAACUGAUGAAAAAAAAAUCAAUGCAAUAAACUAUGAAUGAUGAUAGUUGAAAUAAAUACUUUGCGUAUGGAGGACCAUUAUUCUAAAUGUCUUUAAUUUUUUAAUAAUUCAUGUCUUAUGUUUAUAAAAAAGGAGGAAUUAUUGCUUGGUGGACUCAAAAGGCACAUAAAAAGCAUCUAGAAGAAUCUUAUAUUUAGUAAUAAGUCCAAACGAUAUUGGUGACCUUACAGUUUUUAGCAUCAUGUCCUGAGUUUGACGGAAGUGCAUUAGAGGAGGUGAACUUUGCUUUUUAAAGAUGGUGCUGAUAAAUGAUACUGGUGCAUUUAUAUAGCAUACUUUCUCCAUCAGGGAUAAACCUCCUUUCCAAAAGGACAAUUAAUUUUUGGAAACAACAAAACUCAGAAUACAUAUUAUGUGUAUGUAGGUAUAUAAUAUGUUUGUGAAUAUUCUGGGGCAACAGCAAUGGAACUUUUCGACAAAAUUCAGUGUUGCCACACACAUCAUCAUAUGCAUAGAUGUGUGUAUGUUUUGCACUGGCCAAGUUGUUAAUGUGUUCAAGUCAGAGCAUCAGGUCACCUGGAUCUGUGUAUUUGCAGGUGGGCUUAUCCACUCAUUUUCUCUUUUCACACACCAUUAAAGAGGAAAAACAAAAAACAAAAAAAACCUGACUAGUUAAUUUAAUCAAUCAGAAGGCAGUCAGUUCAGUACAGGGGAAGAAAAGUCACUGGAGCUACCUUUCCUGAAUUGAUUUUGACUGAAUUACCUUCUAAUCCAGUUGAUCUUGAAGCCCUCUCUUCUCAAAUGCCUAUCUUUCUCUCCCCCUCAUGUCCCCCAUUCAGUUUGCACCCU